AAACGCGAUAAUCCUACAACUAUGGCAACAACGUUCAAGGUGACAUUUGCGAUCUGGCAAUUCCUUCUCGUCAUUGGUGCGACCCCUGCGACUGAAACUCCGACCACUACGGAAAGUACUCACGAUGAAAAAGGGUACUUCAUUAAAACCAACAUCACUCUUGACUACAUGAAGCAGAUGUAUUCUCUAUGCAGACCAUUGGGACAGCAGGCAGCGGGACCAGUACAAUACAUGUAAGAG